AUUGAACGCUGGCGGCAGGCCUAACACAUGCAAGUCGAACGGUAACAGGAAGCAGCUUGCUGCUUUGCUGACGAGUGGCGGACGGGUGAGUAAUGUCUGGGAAACUGCCUGAUGGAGGGGGAUAACUACUGGAAACGGUAGCUAAUACCGCAUAACGUCGCAAGACCAAAGAGGGGGACCUUCGGGCCUCUUGCCAUCGGAUGUGCCCAGAUGGGAUUAGCUAGUAGGUGGGGUAAAGGCUCACCUAGGCGACGAACCCUAGCUGGUCUGAGAGGAUGACCAGCCACACUGGAACUGAGACACGGUCCAGACUCCUACGGGAGGCAGCAGUGGGGAAUAUUGCACAAUGGGCGCAAGCCUGAUGCAGCCAUGCCGCGUGUAUGAAGAAGGCCUUCGGGUUGUAAAGUACUUUCAGCGGGGAGGAAGGGAGUAAAGUUAAUACCUUUGCUCAUUGACGUUACCCGCAGAAGAAGCACCGGCUAACUCCGUG
rnacentral:rRNA from 1 species